GAAAACCCUGAAUAUCCGCAGAGGGCUCCCCUUCAAGCAUUCAGCUGGUAGUGAUCAUUACAUGCAGGAACUCUUGGUGGAGCAGAGCAGUGGACACGUAUGUGAAUCGAUGCCUGGUGGAACUGGACCCACUUGACAACUGCAGUCCUGGUCAAAGUGAGCAAAGGCCAUGAAACAGAAAAUAUCUCCCUUCCAGACCAGGCUUAACCGGGCUGAUUUAAGUCUGUGUGCUUUAGAUUAUGAGCUGGAAAUGUUCUCAAAACUGUCCUGAAAGCAAGUAAUGCUUUCAGUCGUUGUCACCUUCGUGAGGAACGCGCUGCAACUUCGCCUUUCUGACUUCAUUCUCCC